ACAGUGAAUCUAGCCUACCUAGUGACAACUAGUAAACAAAGUUCUCCUAGGACAUCUCAAAAUUUGUAGUUUCCAGGGGUGCCCUGGCACAAGUUUGUUCAGCCUGGAGUAUCUGUGCUAAGCAAGUUUCAGAGGCACACCAUUCUUAAAAGGGACAGCAGGGGGUCCAAUACUGUUUGUCAGCUAUGCGCCUUCUGUGGAGAGAUGACAGCCUUCUUCCUGGAUUGUGCUGAGGGACUGGAAGCUUUCCUUUGAAGCGUUCCCAUGUCUUCUAUUACAUUUCCUGAGGUAGAGGAAUUAAGUGUCAUGCAGUGAACAGUGACAAGGAAAAAAGGGCCAAUGUGCUGUAAGAUCCUGAUGGUGGGAGAAAGGCAGAGAGCCCCUGUUGUGACUGUCACUGACACUGCCAGACAAAAACUGCUCUUGCAUAACAGUUGUGCUGCCAGUCCUGCUGAUAACCCCAGUCCCUGGAUUAUAUUACUGUUGACCCAAAUAACCCUUAAAUGAAAUUUGACAAUGACAAAGAGCCAAAUGACAAGAGUAACAUAACAAUUCAGAAAAAAAAACAUCCUCUUGGAUUCUAAAACAUCUGAUUGUGUCAAUUUUGAGAUUACAGUGAGACAUCUCCUGAGAAAAUAUUAAAAGGAGGGGUCUGAAAUAACGUUGGGAAUGUGUCUAUUGAAGCAAAGGAAUCAAGAAGACAGCUGAAUCAAGUGAUGACUGCUUCCUGGGAUCUAUGUCCAAAGACAGAAUUCAUAAAGAAGCUUGGACAGUUUAUCUGAAGACACAUGCAGUACUGCUAAAUUUAAAAUUGAUUUGAGGACAAUUUUAAGAAUGCAACUCUGUUUUGUAAAUAAACUUGGAAUGAGAUGAACCCUAAAUUAGAGCAAUGUAGAGCAACAUUCAAAGAUAAAGCAGACAGAUACAUUGUCUGGGUCAAUUUAAAAACUCUACUAGCUACAAACACAAAGCAUACAUGCCUGAUGCCUUUGUUACUAAUGGGGCCACCAGAAGUAAUAUCCUAGAUCAAACCGCAGCCAUUGAGAUGGGCCAUGGAAAUGCACUGAGGAAGUUGGGACAGUGUUGGUUGAAAAGGUUUUGCUUAAAGGAGAACCAGUGUAUGUGAAGUCUGUUGAAAUAAUGAACAAUAAGGAACUGGAAAAGGAUAAAAGAAAGUUGGCAGAAAAGACUAAGAUGGAGGGGAGCUUUA